CCUACGGGUGGCAGCAGUGGGGAAUAUUGCACAAUGGGGGAAACCCUGAUGCAGCAACGCCGCGUGAGUGAAGAAGUAUUUCGGUAUGUAAAGCUCUAUCAGCAGGGAAGAAGAAAGACGGUACCUGACUAAGAAGCCCCGGCUAACUACGUGCCAGCAGCCGCGGUAAUACGGAGGGGGCAAGCGUUAUCCGGAUUUACUGGGUGUAAAGGGAGCGUAGACGGCUGUGCAAGUCUGAAGUGAAAGCCCGUGGCUCAACCGCGGAACUGCUUGGGAAACUGUAUAGCUUGAGUACUGGAGAGGAAGGCGGAAUUCCUAGUGUAGCGGUGAAAUGCGUAGAUAUAUGGAGGAACACCAGUGGCGAAGGCGACGAUCUGGGAAGAAACAGACGCUGAGUCCCGAAAGCGUGGGGAGCAAAUAGGAUUAGAUACCCCAGUAGUC
rnacentral:rRNA from 1 species